CUAUGUCCAUCUUUCUUUCACUAUUUCUUGUUGUAACCAGUAUUGGUAAUUCCCCUAUAUCAUCCUUUUCAAAUUCUCUUAUUUACCUUAUACACAAUAUUUUAUCAUCUUUUAAUAACAUUUUAUUAUACUUGUUUCACAUUACAGUAGGUGAGGAGUGGAACUCGCAUAGUUGGAACUCAGAAUUCUAUUUGAAGAAAAGUUGCAGUUCUGACUUUGAUUGUCCAAGGACUAUGUGCAUAAAACUUUCCCUUGCGAGAUGCUUUAAUGACUUUUGUCACUGCUAUUAAUAGUUAAGUUGAAAAUAUUUUGUUUCUUUUAAAGCCUAUAAUUUUAUUCUUAUUUCAUUUUUACUCUUAUUAUUUCUCUCACACUUUCAUUUAUACUUUUCAGACGUUUUGAUUUCAAUGAUAGGACGAGAAGAAGA
rnacentral:lncRNA from 1 species